UACGUAGGGGGCAAGCGUUGUCCGGAUUUAUUGGGCGUAAAGAGCGUGUAGGCGGCUUUACAGGUCCGUUGUGAAAACUCGAGGCUCAACCUCGAGACGCCGGUGGAAACCGUAAAGCUAGAGUCCGGAAGAGGAGAGUGGAAUUCCUGGUGUAGCGGUGAAAUGCGCAGAUAUCAGGAAGGACACCCGUGGCGAAGGCGGCUCUCUGGGACGGUACUGACGCUGAGACGCGAAAGCGUGGGGAGCGAACAGG
rnacentral:rRNA from 1 species